CAAAGGUACAGUCCAAGGGCAUCAAGCAGGGAGAAAUGGGGCAAACAGAGAGCGGGAACAAACCCUGUAAAGCAACCCUACAGGGGCCCACAGACCCUAGAAUUGCCUGCCCCGAGGAGAAAGGCCAGAGGGACUGAAACACCUAGUUACCCUGCCAGAAAUGAUUUUCCUUACCAGCCCAGACAUAAGCCACUGUAAUCACU